GAGGAGCUGCUUCUCUAGCAUCAUCACACGGACUUUAGGCCUUUCAGCUCUCUUCUUUUGGAUGACUUUCAGUGAAGAACGGCGGUUUACCUUGAGUAUGGCUUGGUAGUGUGGUGCCUCUUUUUGAUAUCUUUAGCAUAGAUAUCCU
rnacentral:sRNA from 1 species